ensembl:rRNA 5S_rRNA 5S ribosomal RNA
GCUUACAGCCAUACCACCCUGAGCACGCCCGAUCUCAUCUGGGCUUGGAAGCUAAGCAGUGUUGGGCUUGGUUAAUACUUGGUUGGGAGACUGCCUGGGAAUACCAGGUGCUCUAAGCU